rnacentral:rRNA from 1 species
GUCGAACGAUGAUGCCCAGCUUGCUGGGUGGAUUAGUGGCGAACGGGUGAGUAACACGUGAGUAACCUGCCCCUGACUCUGGGAUAAGCGUUGGAAACGACGUCUAAUACUGGAUAUGACUGCCGGCCGCAUGGUCUGGUGGUGGAAAGAUUUUUUGGUUGGGGAUGGACUCGCGGCCUAUCAGCUUGUUGGUGAGGUAAUGGCUCACCAAGGCGACGACGGGUAGCCGGCCUGAGAGGGUGACCGGCCACACUGGGACUGAGACACGGCCCAGACUCCUACGGGAGGCAGCAGUGGGGAAUAUUGCACAAUGGGCGAAAGCCUGAUGCAGCAACGCCGCGUGAGGGAUGACGGCCUUCGGGUUGUAAACCUCUUUUAGUAGGGAAGAAGGGAGCUUGCUCUUGACGGUACCUG